rnacentral:rRNA from 1 species
ACGAACGCUGGCGGCGUGCUUAACACAUGCAAGUCGAACGGAAAGGCCCUGCUUUUGUGGGGUGCUCGGGUGGCGAACGGGGGAGUAACACGUGAGUAACCUGCCCUUGCCUUUGGGAUAACUUCGGGAAACGGGGGCUAAUACCGGAUAGGAGCUCCUGCUGCAGGGGGGGGGUUGGAAGGUUUCGGCGGUUGGGGAUGGACUCGCGGCUUAUCAGCUUGUUGGUGGGGUAGUGGCUUACCAAGGCUUUGACGGGUAGCCGGCCUGAGAGGGUGACCGGCCACAUUGGGACUGAGAUACGGCCCAGACUCCUACGGGAGGCAGCAGUGGGGAAUAUUGCACAAUGGGCGGAAGCCUGAUGCAGCAACGCCGCGUGCGGGAUGACGGCCUUCGGGUUGUAAACCGCUUUCGCCUGUGACGAAGCGUGAGUGACGGUAAUGGGUAAAGAAGCACCGGCUAACUACGUG